rnacentral:rRNA from 1 species
UAAAGCGGCGAACGGGUGAGUAAUACACAGGAAUCUACCUUUUAGUGAAGAAUACCUCCGAGAAAUUGGAGUUAAUGCUGCAUACGUCCCUUCGGGGAGAAAGAUGGCCUCUUUGCUGUCGCUAAAAGAUGAGCCUGUGCGCUAUUAGCUAGUUGGUGGGGUAAAAGCCUACCAAGGCGAUGAUAGCUAGCCGGCCUGAGAGGGUGAUCGGCCACAUUGGGACUGAGAUACGGCCCAGACUCC